rnacentral:rRNA from 1 species
UACGUAGGGUGCGAGCGUUAAUCGGAAUUACUGGGCGUAAAGCGUGCGCAGGCGGUUUUUUAAGACAGGCGUGAAAUCCCCGGGCUUAACCUGGGAACGGCGCUUGUGACUGGAAGGCUAGAGUACGGCAGAGGGGGGUGGAAUUCCACGUGUAGCAGUGAAAUGCGUAGAGAUGUGGAGGAACACCGAUGGCGAAGGCAGCCCCCUGGGCCGAUACUGACGCUCAUGCACGAAAGCGUGGGGAGCAAACAGG